UACGUAUGGGGCAAGCGUUGUCCGGAUUCAUUGGGCGUAAAGAGCGUGUAGGCGGCCAGGUAGGUCGGUUGUGAAAACUGGAGGCUCAACCUUCAGAGGUCGACCGAAACCAUCUGGCUAGAGUCCGGGAGAGGGGCGUGGAAUUCCGGGUGGAGCGGUGAAAUGCGUAGAGAUCCGGAGGAACACCGACGGCGUAGGCAGCGCCCUGGACGACACCUGACGCUGAGGCACGAAAGCUGGGGGAGCGAACAGG
rnacentral:rRNA from 1 species